CCUACGGGGGGCUGCAGUGAGGAAUAUUGGUCAAUGGACGCAAGUCUGAACCAGCCAUGCCGCGUGCAGGAAGACGGCUCUAUGAGUUGUAAACUGCUUUUGUACGAGGGUAAACGCAGAUACGCGUAUCUGUCUGAAAGUAUCGUACGAAUAAGGAUCGGCUAACUCCGUGCCAGCAGCCGCGGUAAUACGGAGGAUUCAAGCGUUAUCCGGAUUUAUUGGGUUUAAAGGGUGCGUAGGCGGUCGGAUAAGUUAGAGGUGAAAUCUCGAGGCUCAACUUCGGAAUUGCCUCUGAUACUGUUCGUCUAGAGAGUAGUUGCGGUAGGCGGAAUGUAUGGUGUAGCGGUGAAAUGCUUAGAGAUCAUGCAGAACACCGAUUGCGAAGGCAGCUUACCAAGCUACUUCUGACGUUGAGGCACGAAAGCGUGGGGAGCAAACAGGAUUAGAUACCCUAGUAGUC
rnacentral:rRNA from 1 species